UACAGAGGUCCCAAGCGUUGUUCGGAUUCACUGGGCGUAAAGGGUGCGUAGGUGGCGCGGUAAGUCGGGUGUGAAAUCUCGGAGCUUAACUCCGAAACUGCAUUCGAUACUGCCGUGCUUGAGGACUGGAGAGGAGACUGGAAUUUACGGUGUAGCGGUGAAAUGCGUAGAUAUCGUAAGGAAGACCAGUGGCGAAGGCGGGUCUCUGGACAGUUCCUGACGCUGAGGCACGAAGGCCAGGGGAGCAAACGGG
rnacentral:rRNA from 1 species